rnacentral:rRNA from 3 species
GCUGCGAUAGUUUGAUCGUACAAAGGUAGCAUAAUAAUUAGUUUUUUAAUUGGGAACUGGAAUGAAAGGUCGAACGAGAAAAAAACUGUCUCAAUUUAAUUUUAAUUAGAAUUUUAUUUUUAAGUAAAAAAGCUUAAAUAAAUUUUAAAGACGAGAAGACCCUAUAGAGUUUUAUAUUUAAUAAUUUAUUUUUUAGUUUUAGAAUUAAUAUUUAAAAUUGAUUAUUAUAUAUUUAAUUGGGGUGAUUAAAAAAUUAAAUAAACUUUUUUUAUAAAUUUAACAUUAAUAAAUGAUUAAGUGAUCCAUAUUUAAUGAUUAAAAGAUUAAAUUACCUUAGGGAUAAA